rnacentral:rRNA from 1 species
AUUAAUCCGCCAGAGAAUUACGGGUGAAAGCCUAAAACUCAAAAGACUUGACGGUGUCCCAAUUCUGCCUAGAGGAGCCUGUUUCAUAAUCGAUAACCCCCGUUCAACCCAACCCCUCCUUGUAAAUCCCCUCAGCCUAUAUACCGCCGUCUUUACUCUAGCUUACCUUAUGAAAGACUAACAGUAAGCUUAAUAGUCCCCUAACUAGUAAAUCAGGUCAAGGUGUAGCUUAUGGAGAGGAGAAAAUGGGCUACAUUUUCUACCACAGAAUACUACGAAAAAUAUUCUGAAAUAAAGUAUAUAAAGGUGGAUUUAGUAGUAAG